AGUCCCAAGAACCAGAGGUCAGAUGAUGACCCAGAAACAGGAUCCAGAGCAAGAAAGUUCCUGUUGCAUGUAAGUCUUGUCCUUGUGGUUACAUAUUUAUUAAUAGGAAACGUCUAAAAGUAAAACACUCAGAGAAAUCAUCCCUCUUUACAGACGUGAACAGUACCAUAUCUUUGAAAGAUUUACGAAUACUUUUUUUAUAUGAAUUUAAACUGGGCCAUAGUGCAGCCGAGGCAAGCAGAAACAUCAAUUCCGUCUUUGGAGGAGGCUCUGUUAGUGAAAGGACCAUCCGGUGGUGGUUUGAAAAAUUUCGGUCUGGGCAUAUGAGUCUGAAAAAUGAACCUCGCGGGAGGCCCAAAUCUGUUUUAAAUGAAGAUCAGUUAAGAGCUAUGGUGGAAGCUAACCCCAAAACAGCAAUUCGAGGCCUUGCAGCAGACUUAGGAGUUUCUGCUACGACAAUUUCUCGACACCUGGCUGCAAUAGGGAAGGUGAAAAAAUUGGACAGGUGGGUAGGUACUACACCAGUUGAUGGAGGAUCAUAAACUGAGAUGUUUCAUCUCUUAAGAUUUGAAACAACAAAGAUCUGUUUUGGAGCGGAUCAUAAUCUAUGGCCAAAAAUGGAUACUAUAUCACAGUUGAAACUGAUCUGGACAACAUUUGGAAGCUGGUGAAGUUCCCAAACAUGUCAAAACCAUCAUUGCAAUCAAAAAAGAUUCUGAUGACUGUGUGGUAGUCUGAAAAAAGGAUAUUUCAGUACUGCUUUUUAACACUGGUAAAACAAUAAUAGCAGUAUUUUAUUUUCAGUAUGUUAAAAAUAUAUAUCAAAAUUUGAUCUAAAAGCACUCUGCAUUGGUUAGCAGAUAUGGAUCUGUACUUUUUCAUGACGUUUGACCACAGAAAUCACAAACCGCCAUAGCAAAGUUAACUGCAUUGGAUUAAGAACUUUUGCUACAUCCGUCAUUCUCACUCGGCCUUUUUUCAACAGAUGACCACUGUUUCAUCAUUUGGAGCUCUUUCUAAGAAAUAGAACAUUCCCCAAUUGAAAAGCAGUAAUUGGAGGAUUUGAAUACAUUUUAACAGUUUAAAAAUGCUGAAUUUUGUAAAUAAUGGUAUAUAUAUCAUUUAAUAUCCCAUUGUGGGAAAGUGGUUACUGCUAACAGUGCAUAUUUUGACUGAAUUAAAAAAUUUUUUUUCUUGAAAGUAUUGCGUCUUUAUUUUGACCUACAAAAAAGGCAAUUUUAUAUGAUUCAACUUAGUACGUUCCCAGGCCCUGACAGAGCAUGAAAACUGAGAGGUAUUCAAAGUGCUGGAAAACUACAGGUGCUUCUGAAUUUUGGGACUUCUUCCUUGGAGGAAGCGGUUGCAACCCAGGGUGUGUAUUGUGUAUGCAGAAGAUGCUCAGGAGUCAGCCAUGCAAAGAUCUGGGCAGAGAGGGCUCCAGGGAGAUGAGCAGCUUAUGCAAAUGCCCUCAGACUCUCAGAAAAUAUUGUUUUGAAUGAAGAGGGCAUGUUUCUUGCUAACACCUGAAUCAUGCACAGAGUAGAUAUGGCUCAGUGAAAGCUUCUGGACGAUAUUUAUUUUGUCACAAAGAGCCAACACCACCUUUCAUUCCAAUUUUUUAAAAAAUGUAGGUGGCCUAUCAGAGACUAGAAUUCAUGGCCUCUUUAUGAUAUUGCUGGAUUGGCAGUUAUUCUUUGUGUCAUCCAGGGAUUAAAUUGGGGUAAGAUACUGGGAUGGUCCUCCUCCUGCCUCUCUCCCUCCUGACAACCUGGUAAGUCUCUUCCAUGAAGGAGAGGAGAGUCAAGGAAGCCUAUUUAAAAAAUAAAGUGUCCCUUUGGGUGGAAGUAGCCCUGUGCCGUGAUACAAGGCUUGGUGAGCAGUGUGUAGGCUGGUUUUAGCCCUAACAUACCUACCCUCUUAGCUGGAUGCCCUUACCUGGAGUCACCUGCCCAUUUACUACUCCAUACUUGUCAGGGAAUUUACCCAGGGCUUUGGGAGACUCUUCUUACUCCCAAGAGAGUAAAGCUUCUGGUGUGGCUCACACUGAUAGGGUUGAAGGGAAACCCUACAUGUGGGAAGGACUUUACGUCAAAGGUUAAAGGAGGAGGCUGAACGGUCACAGGGCAAGAGCAGAGGCUUGGCCAAUGUGAAGGAGGUAGUUUUAUAUAGUUAUGGAGCGGAAAGUAGUCAUUUAAUAGCUACCCAUCCGUCCCUCAAUUUUCAGGCCCCUCAUCAGACUUCAGAGGCCCCUCAUCAGACUUCAGAGUGGGAUGCCAGACUUAGGUCUGAAACAGUAAGUGGAUAUCCUUGCUCCAGCCUCAAGGCAUAGUUUGAGGAUGGAUAGAAACACCCAAACAGAAGUCAUAAAACACGAUGAGUCAGGAAGAGGAGCAGAUACAGGGUACUGAGCUAGCCUAGCGAUCGUCCUUUGAUGCACUGAACACUAAUGACCGAAGACCAGACCAGUUGUAGAAUGACAUCAAGGACAUCAUACAUAAAGAAAGCAAGGGGUCAUUAAAAAGACAGGAAAUAAAAGACCAAAAUG